GUCUUGGCUAGGGAUGCCUUUAGCAGCUAGCUGGCUGGAUUACAGUUUUAUUGUAAGAAGUGCCAAUGCUCUGCAUUUUAGUGCAAAAAUAUAAAUUUAUUUUUAAAUAGAUUUUCACUAGGUUGAAAUUUGCAAAGCUUGCAAUUUUAUUUUCAUUUUACAGAAGGAAAUAAUAGUACAUGCACAGCUUAUUUUGCAAUUUAAUGUUACAUAGUGAUAAGCAUAAGGCCAAGUCUUCAAAGAAAUGUAAAGACUAUGACUCAUAAAUCUGAGCCAUCUUAGGUACACCCAUGAGUAUCAGUCAGCCCAAGUAGUAAACAGCCUUCACAGAAGCUGUCACUCUAAAUCAGGAACUGUCUUUCUCCCCUUCUCUUACGAGACCCUCGAAACUUGCACGGCAACUGUAGGUCAACAGGACUGUGAUCUUUGGAAGUGCUGCUUUCUACAUGGCUAGGUUGAGCCUGAGACAGAUGGAAAAACCGUGGGCGCUGAAAAGCAGUCUCUGUAGAGAAACCAGCAGUAUAUAAAAGUUGGGUAAGUAACUUCUGCUGUUGCCAUUUUUUUUUUUAACAAUUGGAAAAAUAUACAUAACAGACUUAGUGACUUACUGGUACUUAGCAGCAGAAGACAAAAUGGACUAGCGAGGGACUAAAUGAAGGAAGCUUCCUGUCCAUGUUGUUUGCAAGAAUUUUGCAGUUAUAUAUAACAGAAGAAAAGCAGUGAGUUGGAGAAAGGAAUCUGCUUAUCUCCUCUAUGAUAUUUGCAUGGUUCAUAUUUCAAAAUUUUCAAGUUAAGGUCAACUUUGAAACACAUAUUACUUAAAAUCUCAAAUAUUCUUUAGUGAUACAAAAUGAAUUAAGCCAAAAAUAUUUCAGUGUUUCUUUUAAGUUUAGAAGACUAUACUUUAUUUCAUACUUUCAAUUCCAUGCUAACUCUUGACAUAUAUAAUAUACAAAAGCCCGGUUUUCAACUGGUAUAACUCAGAUUUAUUUCAUUGUCUUCAGUUAGGCAACGUUUGUUUACAUCAGUUGACAACAUAGUCUAGGAAUUACUAUAUAAAUGAAGAAAAUACUAUAUCAAUGAAGAAAUAAUGUAGUGAAAAUAUCACUUAUAACUAUACUAAACAGACGAGUGGCAAAAUAGAAAGUCUUAGGAAAUUACUUACUGUUUUCAGUAGAACAGUACAUGUUGUAAAGGAAUGUGUUAGAGUAGGUGCAAU
rnacentral:lncRNA from 1 species